UGAAGGUAAAGCUGCUAUAUGAAGUGAUAAAAGGGGCCAACCACAACCCCUUUAAAUGAGAGCUGUAACACCAGAAUGCGUUUAAACAAUUAAAGCUUAAGAUGACAUCUACCCCAUCUCUGAGGCUGCCAAAUCCUCAUAAACCCUUGCAACUUUACGUGCAUGAAAGACUGGGUCUGGCACUCGGGAUCCUAACACAAAAACUAAAAGAAAUAUUGCAACCAGUGGCUUAUUUCUCAAAAGGAUUGAUACAGUGGCAAUGGGCUGGCCCCCUUGUCUCAAAGCAGUAGCUGCCGCCUGCUUGUUGCUCAAGGGAGCUGAGAAGCUGACUUUGGGUCAGCCCAUCGUGAUUUAUGUGCCCCAUCAAGCCUGGUGUUAUUUGAGCAGAAGGGUGGCUACUGGCUGACGGUUGUCAGAUUAGGCUGAUAUCGGGCCAUCCUGCUUGAUAAUCCCGCAGUAAAACUGCAGACCACUGGAGCCUCAAACCCUGCCAUUUUGCUGCCACCUACUGGGGAACAAAGGAACUAGUACACAACUGCCUAGAGGUUAUAAUCAAGUAUUUUCUGGUCUCCCAGAUCUAAAGGAUGCAGCCCUCCCCUAUGUAGACUGGUUGCUGUUCAUGGAUGGAAGCAGCUUAGUCACCAACAAAGGAGAAAUGCUGCCUAUGCUGUAGUAACUCUCUUGGAGGUAAUAGAGGCAAGAACACUCCCGACAGGGACUUCUGCGGAAAAGGCUGAGUUAGUCGCUUUUACCAGAGCCUUGCAACUGUCCCAAGGAAUGACACAGAUUUUGCAGGAGACCGCCACCCAUUUCAGCCUGGUGAUCAAGUGCUGCUGAAGGAAUGGAGGGAAGCUGAUCCUGCCCAACAACUACAGGAAAAAUGGAAAGGGCCCUACGAUGUGCUGUUGACUACUGACUUGGCACUGAAGCUGACAGGCAUCAAACCCUGGGUUCAUCAUAUGAAAAGUCUUUCUCUAGGACCUGGAAAUGAUUGCUCGGAAAUGUAAACAGCAAAAAAGUUAGAGCCCUAUCGCACAGCUUGCUCCAAGUUUCAAAAUUACCUUCUGUCCCUCCUGGACUUGGGACCAUUAUUUUUCCUUCAGAUAUGCCAGUCAGCAACCACAGAUGGCCUCCCCAAUUACCAGACUCACUCAGACAUUGCUGCCUUCUCCAGCCUCUUUAAACUUUAAAGGCCAGCAGAGAAUGCUAUGUUUCAGGAUGGUGAUUGGUGGUUUUCACUUUGGACCAUAAGCAUCCGUAUUGUGCUCACCUGCUGCUGUGUAAGACAUGCCUACUUCUGCUUUCACCAUGAUUACAAGUUUCCUGAGACCUCCCCAGCCAUGCAGAACCGUAAGUCAAUUAAACCUCCUUUGUUUACAAAUUACCCAGUCUUGGUUAGUAUUUUUAUAACAUUGUGGGAAUGGACUAAUACUGUCUGUUUUGUUAAAAGACUAAGUUUCAAUUGGGAGCCAAGAUGACUGACUAGACACAGCCAGGGGAAACAACUGACAAGACACUGAGACAUUGAAAUUUCCAUCCCAUUCUGAGCCUAUCUUCAGAUGAAAUGCAUUGCAAGUGGGCAGAGGGAGGACACAGAUGCUGGAAACCCUUCAUGGUGUACCAAGUACUAGGAACUUAAGUCCACUUUUUCUGAGCCCUGCAAAACAUCAGAACUUGCUCAGGGAUUGCCAUCAUUGUGAUCUAGACUGCCGGGGUUUUUUGUGAUUUUUUUUUUUUUUUUUUGAGACGGAGUCUUACUCUGUCACCCAGGCUGGAGUGCAGUGGCGUGAUCUCAGCUCACUGCAACCUCCGCCUCCUGGGUUCAAGUAAUUCUCCUGCCUCAACCUCCUGAGUAGCUGGAAUUACAGGCAUGUGCCAGCACGUCCGGCUCACUUUUGUAUUUUUAGUAGAGAUGGGGUUUCACCAUGUUGGUCAGGCUGGUCUCGAACUCCUGAACUCGUGAUCCACCCGCCUUGGCCUCCUAAACUGCUGGGAUUACAGGCUUGAGCCACCGUGCCCCGCCUAGACUGCCUUUUAUAUUUACUUAAAAUUCCAGAGCACUUUAGCCUGAGGGGCUAGCCACAACUCAGGUACCAAGUGCUGGGAUAAAUAAUUUUCUUCUGUCUGGGGCUGAUCAAAGUGCUCCCGCCAUGGGCAAUGGCCAAAUUCUGCCUUGGAUUACUUCCUACUAAAACAGGGCAGCACUGAGUUCCAAUGCAAAGUUCAACAAUCCCUUGCUGUCCUUCCCCUAAGCACACAAAUUCUCUCUUUGUGCCACAUAUUUACUGCUGGGAAAUGAGGGAUAAGUGGUGUAGGAAAUUCUAGACUGUCUUUCCUACCCUCUUCAGUACCUCUAUUUUGUUAAAACUGGGUACUGUAAUUACUCACCUAAUUUUUGGUUGUUGUGAAGGUGCUUUCUUGUGUGAAUAGUUGUUCAAUUUGGUGUUCCUAUAUGGGAUGAUUGCUAGAGGGUUCUAAUCAGCCAUCUUGCUCCACCUCUGUCUCUCUUCCUUUUUACCAUUAUGAAAUGACAAUCUUAGUCUCCUGUGACAGUUGUUUACUUAAUGUGUAUUUUGUCUAAUAUAAUUAAGACUACUUUACCAAAUUGUGGUUAUUAUUUGCAUGGAAUAUGUUUUUCCAUCCUGAUACUUUCGGCCUAUUUAACUCCUUAGAGCUAAUGUGACCCUAUUGUGGAAAGCAUAUUGUAACAUCUUUUUUUUUUUUUUUUUUUUUGAGAUGGAGUCUCGCUCUGUCACCCAGGCUGUAGUGCAGAAAAUAUUUCUUUAUUUGUUUGUUUGUUUAUUUAUUUAUUUAUUUAUUUAUUUAUUAUACUUUAAGUUUUAG
rnacentral:lncRNA from 10 species